UCGCUUCAGAAUUCAGUAAGGCCCAAUAAACCUAGGGCUCAAUUUUCCCUUACGAACGAACCUCUAAACCUUCUUCCAUGGCGAAACAUUAAGAAACACAAAACCCCCACAGAAUACUCAAUCUCACGCCUUUUCAAAUCUGCAUAGGACUUCUGUCAAUUAGAAGCCGUCUUCAGACCAAGAACCCGUCGUUCACCCAACUCAGUCCAACAUAGGAGAGUGUGACACUUACGUCCAUACAAAGCUUUAUAAGGUGCCAUC
rnacentral:lncRNA from 1 species